CCUGGUUGAUCCUGCCAGUAGUCAUAUGCUUGUCUCAAAGAUUAAGCCAUGCAUGUUUAAGUAUAGAGAUUUUUAUACCUUGAAACUGCGGACGGCUCAUUAAAUCAGUUAUAAUCUACUUGAUCGUAUUUUCUACAUGGAUAACUGUAGUAAUUCUAGAGCUAAUACAUGCAAAAAUGGGAGACUGACUUGUUGGAAUCUCAAUAUUUAUUAGGUACAAAAUCAAUAUCAAUUUGAUGAUUCAUAAUAACUAAACGAAGCGCAGAGUCCUAGUGACGGCGCUGAUACAAACGAGUUUCUGCCCUAUCAACUUUCGAUGGUAGUAUAGGGGACUACCAUGGUGUUAACGGGUAACGGGGAAUUAGGGUUCUAUUCCGGAGAGGGGGCCUGAGAAAUGGCCACCACUUCCAAGGAAGGCAGCAGGCGCGCAAAUUACCCAAUCUCAAUUCGAGGAGGUAGUGACAAGAAAUACCGUUGAAGGACACUACGUGUACUUCAUUCGGAAUGAGAACAAUCUAAACACCUUAACGAGGAUCAAUUGGAGGGCAAGUCUGGUGCCAGCAGCCGCGGUAAUUCCAGCUCCAAUAGUGUAUAUUAUUGUUGCUGUAGUUAAAAAGCUCGUAGUUGGAUUUCGAAAUGCGACUGUCAAAGCCCGUCCAAGUGGCGUGGCUCGACUGGUUGCUUUCUGUCUUUGGGUAAUGGGCGUAGCUUCGGUUGCGUUUUCCGUUCCUAAUUGUUUACUUUGAAAAAAUUAGCGCGUUCAAAGCAGGUGUAACUUUGCCUUGAAUAGUUUAGCAUGGGAUAAUAGAAUAGGACCACCGGCCUUAUUUUAUUGGUUUCUAAAGCUGGGGUAAUGAUUAAUAGGGACAGUUGGGGUCGGUCGUAUUGAAUCGUCAGAGGUGAAAUUCUAUGAUUGAUUCAAGACGAACUGGUGCGAAAGCGUCCGACAAGGAUGUUUCCGUUAAUCAAGAUCGAAAGUUGGGGGAUCGAAGAUGAUCAGAUACCGUCGUAGUCCUAACCAUAAACUAUGUGGACCAAGGAUCCGAGGAUGUUCCAUGGAUGACUCUCCGGGCACUUUGUGAGAAAUCAGAGUAUUUGCAUUCCGGGGGGAGUAUGGCCGCAAGACUGAAACUUAAAGGAAUUGACGGAAGGGCACCACCAGGAGUGGAAUCUGCGGCUUAAUUUGACUCAACACGGGGAAACUCACCAGGUCCGGACACAGUAAGGAUUGACAGAUUGAGAGCUCUUUCUUGAUUCUGUGGGUGGUGGUGCAUGGCCGUUUUUAGUUGGUGGACUGAUUUGUCUUGUUAAUUCAGAUAACGAGCGAGACCUCAUCCUGCUAAUUAGUGAUGUGAAUUUGGUUCCUCGCAAGGGGUUCCUAUCUGAUUCGUAGACUACUUCUUA
rnacentral:rRNA from 1 species